rnacentral:misc_RNA from 1 species
UUAUAUGCUCAUCCCUUUGAGACAAAUUCUUUACAAGAAAACUGGCAUGAGUGGACAAUGUAGAUUCCCUAUAAUCUGCUUCAGGUCCAGUCUCAGACCUCCGAUCCUCCAGCCAUGCUACUGCUGUUUCAAAAGCCCUGUGAACGAUUGCUGUCAAGCACUGAGAGACAGCUUGUGUUAGACCAGGACUUUUCAAGUAUUCAAAGGCACAGCUGAAGGCACUUCUAGAAGCUGUUGAGCUAGGGCCCACAUUAAG